GCCCUGGUGGUACAGUGUAUUAAAACACUUGGCUGCCAACCAAGAGGUUGGCAGUUCGAACCCACCAGUGCU
rnacentral:tRNA from 1 species